GACGAACGCUGGCGGCGUGCCUAAUACAUGCAAGUAGAACGCUGAAGAGAGGAGCUUGCUCUUCUUGGAUGAGUUGCGAACGGGUGAGUAAAGCGUAGGUAACCUGCCUUGUAGCGGGGGAUAACUAUUGGAAACGAUAGCUAAUACCGCAUAACAAUGGAUGACACAUGUCAUUUAUUUGAAAGGGGCAAUUGCUCCACUACAAGAUGGACCUGCGUUGUAUUAGCUAGUAGGUGAGGUAAUGGCUCACCUAGGCGACGAUACAUAGCCGACCUGAGAGGGUGAUCGGCCACACUGGGACUGAGACACGGCCCAGACUCCUACGGGAGGCAGCAGUAGGGAAUCUUCGGCAAUGGGGGCAACCCUGACCGAGCAACGCCGCGUGAGUGAAGAAGGUUUUCGGAUCGUAAAGCUCUGUUGUAAGUCAAGAACGGGUGUGAGAGUGGAAAGUUCACACUGUGACGGUAGCUUACCAGAAAGGGACGGCUAACUACGUG
rnacentral:rRNA from 1 species